UGACCUCGGAUCAGGUAGNA
rnacentral:rRNA from 1 species